UACGAAGGGGCUAGCGUUGUUCGGAAUUACUGGGCGUAAAGCGCGCGUAGGCGGAUCGCUAAGUCAGGGGUGAAAUCCCAGGGCUCAACCCUGGAACUGCCUUUGAUACUGACGGUCUGGAGAUCGGGAGAGGUGAGUGGAAUUCCGAGUGUAGAGGUGAAAUUCGUAGAUAUUCGGAGGAACACCAGAAGCGAAGGCGGCUCACUGGCCCGAUACUGACGCUGAGGCGCGAAAGCGUGGGUAGCAAACAGGA
rnacentral:rRNA from 1 species